rnacentral:ncRNA from 1 species
UUUAUGGAGAGUUUGAUCCUGGCUCAGGAUGAACGCUGGCGGCGUGCCUAAUACAUGCAAGUCGAGCGAGGGUACUUGUACCCUAGCGGCGAACGGGUGAGUAACACGUAGGUAAUCUACCCUUAAGACGAGGAUACCGUUUGGAAACGAACGUUAAAACUGGAUAGGAUAGUAAGACAAAAGUUUAACUAUUUAAAAGAGCAAUCUACUUAAGGAGGAGCCUGCGGCGCAUUAGCUAGUUGGUGAGGUAAUGGCCCACCAAGGCGAUGAUGCGUAGCCGGUCUGAGAGGACGAACGGCCACAUUGGGACUGAGACACGGCCCAGACUCCUACGGGAGGCAGCAGUAGGGAAUUUUCGGCAAUGGACGGAAGUCUGACCGAGCAACGCCGCGUGAAUGAUGAAGUAUUUCGGUAUGUAAAGUUCUUUUAUUUGGGAAGAAAAAACAAAUUGACGGUACCAAAUGAAUAAGCCCCGGCUAACUACGUGCCAGCAGCCGCGGUAAUACGUAGGGGGCAAGCGUUAUCCGGAAUUAUUGGGCGUA